rnacentral:lncRNA from 1 species
CGGUGGAAGUUCUUAUUGUUUAUUAUAACACAUACUCCUAUCUCUGGAUAAUCCAUUCUGUAACUGUCAUCAGGCAGAAUUCCAGAGUCCACAGACUUGCUAGCAGGUAAGUUCAUUCCUUUGGAACCAGGGAAAGAUCUUGCAUCUGAUACAUCUUCCCCUGAGCGUGGUCCAUCUUUUAUGUCUGUCAUCAUGGCUCUUGAUUAUCAGAUUUUUAGUAGCUCCAAAAGAUCUUCAAGGUUCUUCUGAAUGUUGUUUCUCUGUAUCUUGAAGCACCAACGUAAUUAAGAAAUAUGAUUCAUAAGAUGAUUCCAGACUUGAGAACUGUAUCAUAAUACAUAGGAGAGCUCCUUUAAUGUUUGUGAAUUUCUGAAUGCCUUAACGCACCAAGUCACUUGCACUUCUCU